AUGACCGCUUUUGGAGUGAGGCAGGUCGCGGCCAUCCACCGCUGCUGUGACUCACCCAGACAGCCCGGGGACUGGAAGGUGACUGGGGACCAGGAGCUGCCGGCGGCUUAUCCCUGCGAUAGAGGGUCCGGGUGGCCGGCAAUCGGACUCGAAAUCAAACGUCCCCUAGGGGCCACGGCGCCAGACCCGCCGGGGACCCUCAGCCCGGAGCGAUCCCAGCAGGUGGUUGGGGGCCCUUCCCAUCUAACGAUGUCCCGUGGGCGCCGAGUCCUGUGCCUGACCCCAGAGCUCUCCGGUACUCACCGAUCCCAGCCGGCGAAAGCGCCAUCCGGGGCGCGAAGGCUGUUCAGCGCAGGCGGGGCCGGGGCCGGCAGCGGCGGCGCUGUCCUGGAAGCACAGCUAGAGUCGAGGGACCGCCACGCGAUCUUAUGCGCACCGACAUCUCCGGAGUUCCACAAUGCCGUUUGUCCCCCUGGGCUCUGUUUGGCACCGGCUGUCCGGCCAGAAGGCGCCAGAAGGGAGCUCAAUGCCUGCAAUCUUCACCUGCCCCUUGGAGCUGCUGUCUGGGCAGGCAUGGAGGUGUCUGUUCCCUGCUGAGGUUGACCAGCGAAAGAGGAAACAAAAACGGAAACCAGAAAAGCUUUGGGCUCGGUUAUCUCAGACCGCGUUUCUGUGACCUGGGAGGGCUGUAAGUGUGAAGGGCAGAGUCACGGUCCAUUACCUUCUGUCUUGGUUCUCUUCUUUGUCCAACAUCACAAAUUUUUUAAAAACUAUAAAAAUAAAAAUAAAAAACCGACACGACUUAGCAGUUUGGGUCUAAAUAUUUCCAGAUCCCUUCACUGCACAGUUUCAUUACCCUCCUCGCGGCAUUUUCCAGCUCGGCCCGACUUUGCUAUUGUGAAUUUUUAUUUGUGCUCUAUUGGGCUGAAAAAUCAAUCCUGCAUAUUUAUUCGCAAACUUUAAAGACUCAAAUACAAAUAGGAACUCUGUUUAGUGCCUCCUGCUGCACUCCCAGGAUUCAGGGAAUGAAUUCACA
rnacentral:lncRNA from 1 species